UGGGGAAUAUUGCACAAUGGGCGCAAGCCUGAUGCAGCCAUGCCGCGUGUAUGAAGAAGGCCUUCGGGUUGUAAAGUACUUUCAGCGGGGAGGAAGGGAGUAAAGUUAAUACCUUUGCUCAUUGACGUUACCCGCAGAAGAAGCACCGGCUAACUCCGUGCCAGCAGCCGCGGUAAUACGGAGGGUGCAAGCGUUAAUCGGAAUUACUGGGCGUAAAGCGCACGCAGGCGGUUUGUUAAGUCAGAUGUGAAAUCCCCGGGCUCAACCUGGGAACUGCAUUCUAAACUGGCAGGCUAGAGUCUUGUAGAGGGGGGUAGAAUUCCAGGUGUAGCGGUGAAAUGCGUAGAGAUCUGGAGGAAUACCGGUGGCGAAGGCGGCCCCCUGGACAAAGACUGACGCUCAGGUGCGAAAGAGUGGGGAGCAAACAGG
rnacentral:rRNA from 1 species